GGGAGAGAAGAAGGAGAAAAUGGAAGAGGGUGAGGUCUCAGAGGAGGAGGAAGAAGAAAAGCAUAGCAGAAGCACAUGGACUGGAGAAACUGCAAGUUCUAAGGGGUCUCAUAUAUGGAAAAGAUGGUAGAGUAGUGGUAGAUCUGCCCAAUGGACACGGGGACUACAGGGACACACCGCCACAUCUGGCUUUCGGGAGCAUUUUGGAGAAUCAAAUUCCCUUCCUCAGGAUCACACACUCUUCUCUUUUCAGAUGGACUGGCUUUGUCGUGAAUACAGAGAUGAUGAGAUACUGGCCCUGGUGAUAAGCAAGCAGUGUUCAAAGGAGGGGAAGAAAAUGUCAUACAAUGGAUGUAAUUUGAUUCUUAUUUUCUCUGCAAGGACUUAGGAAUGCAUAUACACAAUUGUCUAAAGGCUUUCUCUCACACAACAGUUGGGAGUUUUAAUUUUCCUCUCGAUCACAGCUUCUUGGGCAAGUAUCUCACAGUAAAAGGAUCUUGAUAAGGAGGGCACUUUCCAGAAACAAUUUACUUUGAAAGAGAGAUAGCAGGAUGCUCUCUAGGGGAUGGCCAAAUGGUCACUACACAGGCAGAGUGAGAGCCCUGGGGUGACAUAGCUGUCCCCACUGUGUCAUUUAAAGUCAGUUUUCUUAUAUGGGAAAGUUUUACUGAGAAGGGGGCUUCUCUCACUUAAGCAAAAAAAGGAGUCAACGAUUUAGAAUUAAUUAAAAUAACCAGUUAUGAUUAAAAUAAAAAAAACAUUAAAUUAAAUAAAAGCCCAGUAUU
rnacentral:lncRNA from 1 species